ensembl:lncRNA
AAAGAAGAGACCUUGAAAAACAGCACAGUUGUAAGAGGUGAAACGGAGACAUGCCUAAACUUAUCCCUGGCUACACAUACUCUGUGGAUUGGUUUUUUAUCAUCUAGAUCUGAGUCUGGAUGGAGUGUUCUAUAACCCAUCGCAGCUUGUAUGACUGAGUUCCCCUGGGCAUUUGUGGAAAAUAGUGAAUGUGCAAGCAUGGAGCCUGGGUGGGGCUGGGCAUCCCCUUAGAGCCUUGUAGGAGCUUAAGGCAGACAGUUGCUGAAGAGUCAUAUGGCAGGAGGAGCAUCCUGGAGCUCUACAGAGUGGUGCAAGAGAGAGUUAUGGUUCUGAAGGUUUUUCAUAAAAUCAUAGAAUCCUGAGAGUUUCUACAGAAAAGCUUACAGUUUCAUUCUGAAGGAACCUUGCAGUACUCUGUCAAAAAUUUAGGCUGUCACUGUAUCUGCUGGGUGAAGAAGUUGUAAAAGACAAAUUACCUUGGAAAUAACACACUAAAGAUGUGCAAAGAGGUCUCUUCAUCUAGCUUAUCUCUUAAGGUGCUGAUAAGAAAUUCCUUCCUCCCCACUCCCAUCCCAAACCUCAUCAUGAAUCCUCACUGAAAACAACUCUCCCAGUCUCCUGAGAGGUGAGGCAACUCCCUGCACUCCACCCUCCUUUCUGCUCCAGCACAGACUGAAAGCUGAAGGACUGAAAUACCAUAGAAGAAGGCUGCUCUUUGCACCGUCAUUGCAUCAAUCACACAGGGUUUGCAGAUGUGAUGAGUACAAGUUGCCUCAGGAGAAAGCAUGCAGAUGUCUACUUGUCUGUAGAGUGACUGAGCCUGAUAAUCUGAUCACAAGUUUGGCAUUAAUUUCAUGGCAUGGCUUCAUGGACAUUUCCUUUCCACAUGUAAGAUGGUGACUAGCAACAAGCACUAC